CAAGGAGUCCCAUAGUAAAUAAAUAAACCACAAUGUCGAAAAAAAUCAGAACGAUUUUCUCUAGCCAAACUUUUUCUGAGUUAGAACUAGUUAUUUCUGAGUUUAAAUUAGUUAUUGCUGGAAUACUUUGCGUGAAAUAUUUGUGAAAAGGACAUCAUAUAUGACACCUGGUCAGGAUAAUAAGUGUCAUGACGUAAUGCAAAUUACAAACGCAGGAAGCUCAAUGGAUCCUCGAGAUCUCGUGAGACAAUUCACGAGAACCAUACCCUUGAAUCUUCUACCCGGGAAAACAUGUCGGGAAGCAAAAUGGCUCAUUGAGGACUGCAAUUGAUCGAGAAUGUGAUGAAGAAUUGGCUACAAAUGCGAUACGGUUCUAGCAAUUGCAAUAAUUGCAAAUUGCUCGGACUUAUUUAUUUAGAAAUGAUGGUUUGAUCUAUCGUUUUCAGAAGAUUUUAGAGUUUCAUCACACUAAUGAUCCUUCCAAGUCGGGGCACCAGAUCCAAGUUCUACAAAUGAUUAUGUAGAUUAACGGAGAUAUUUUGGCCACUAAUAAAAGCUCUGUGUUAUAAAAUUGA